GACCUAGGGAAUCCUACUGUUUAAUGAAAAGAAAGCAUUGCAGCAAUGUGAUUUCUGCCUAGUGCUUUGAGUGUCAAGGUGAAGAAAUUGAAUGAACCGAGGGUAAAAGGCGGAAGGGAGUAUCUAUGACUUUUUUGUUUGUUUGUUUGUUUUUUGUUUUUUCGAGACAGGGUUUCUCUGUGGCUUUGGAGGUUGUCCUGGAACUCACUUGGUAGUCCAGGCUGGUCUCGAACUCACAGAGAUCCGCCUGCCUCUGUCUCCAGAGUGCUGGGAUUAAAGGCAUGCGCCACCAACGCCCGGCUGUAUCUAUGACUCUUAAGGUAACCAAUACCUCUUUAUCUAAUCACAACUUUUCUUUCAGUACUUCUCUGAGAAUUGCAUUUGUAUAACAAAGUUCUU
rnacentral:ncRNA from 1 species